GACGAACGCUGGCGGCGUGCUUAACACAUGCAAGUCGAACGGAAAGGCCCCUUUGGGGGUACUCGCUCGGCGAACGGAUGAGUAACACGCAAGUAACUUACCCUCCCCUUCGGUUUAACUUACGGCAACUGAGGCUAAUUCAGGCCAGGUAUCAUUUCCGGCUGGUGGGGGUUGGUAAGCUUUGGUGGGUUUGGAUGGAUUGGCUGCCUAUUUGCUUGCUUGUUGGGUAGUUGCUUACCAAGGAUUUGUCUGGUAGCCGGCCUGCGGGGGGGACCGGCCACAUUGGGACUGGGAUACGGCCCAGACUCCUACCGGGGGCAAGAGGGGGGAAUAUUGCACAAUGGGCGGGAGCCUGAUGCAGCAACGCCGCGGGCGGGGUGGCGGCCUUCGGGUUGUAAACCGCUUUCAGCAGGGGCGGAGCUGGUGGUGACGGUACCUGCAGAAGAAGCACCGGCUAACUACGUG
rnacentral:rRNA from 1 species